rnacentral:rRNA from 1 species
UAUGAUCCAGAGUACCACGGGACACGUGAAACCCUGUGGGAAGCAGGAGGGACCACCCUCCAAGGCUAAAUACUACCUAGUGACCGAUAGCGUAUAGUACCGUGAGGGAAAGGUGAAAAGAACCCCGGGAGGGGAGUGAAAUAGAACCUGAAACCCUGCACUUACAAGCUGUGGAAGCACAUUUCUUGUGUGACCGCGUACUUUUUGUAGAACGGGCCAACGAGUUACGUUAAGUAGCAAGGUUAAGCACUU